AUCAUAGUUCAGUUGGUUAGAGUGUGGUGCUGAUAAUGCUAAGGUUGUAGGUUCAAACCCUGUAGCUGUAUAUU